GUUCCUUCUUCAAUCUGGGGUUGUCAGGUUGUCAUGAGAAGACUUGACUUGUAGGGUUAAGGUGGUUAGUUCCUCAAAAGUCUGGGGUUUCAAGGUAUUUGAAUUCGUGGAUUAUAGUCUUGUGAAUGAAGGGACUAGAUGUAGCCAAGUUAAUGGUGAAUCAGGAUAAAACUAUGUGUCAAAUUAUUUAUAUUUUCUUUGUUUUCUGCCUCUGAAUUUGAUUGUUU
rnacentral:lncRNA from 1 species